rnacentral:ncRNA from 1 species
GGUCAAGCUAAUAAGAGCGCAAGGGGAAUGCCUUGGCAUCAGGAGCCGAAGAAGGACGUGACAAGCUGCGAUAAGCUACGGGGAGCGGCACAUACGCAUUGAUCCGUAGAUUUCCGAAUGGGGAAACCCGGUGCGGCAAUACCGCAUCAGCGUGCGUUGAAUAAAAUAGGCGUACGUAGGGAACGCCCUGAACUGAAACAUCUAAGUAGGGGCAGGAAAAGACAUCAACCGAGAUUCCGCUAGUAGUGGCGAGCGAACGCGGAGGAGGCCAAACCAGAGGUCAUAGAUCUCUGGGGUAAGGACAGUCAUUUAGAAAGGGAAGCUAGCCGAACGGCAUGGGAAGGCCGUCCACAGAGGGUGAGAGACCCGUAGGCGAAAGCGGAACGGACGAGACUGUAUCCAGAGUACCGCCGGACACGUGAAACCCGGUGGGAACAAGGGAGGACCACCUUCCAAGCCUAAAUACUACCUGAUGACCGAUAGUGGAGCAGUACCGUGAGGGAAAGGUGAAAAGUACCCCGAGAGGGGAGUGAAAGAGAACCUGAAACCUUGUGCUUACAAGCACUCAGAGCGCGUUAAAGCGUGAUGAGGUACCUUUUGUAGAAUGGUCCGGCGAGUUAUAGUAACGAGCAAGGUUAAGCUAUUCAGUAGCGGAGCCGAAGGGAAACCGAGUCUUAAUAGGGCGUUAAGUUCGUUGCCAUAGACCUGAAACCGGGUGACCUAUCCAUGUCCAGGCUGAAGAUCAGGUAAAACUGAUUGGAGGGCCGAACACACGUUCGUUGCAAUGACCGGUGAUGAGGUGUGGAUAGCGGAGAAAUUCCAAUCGAACCCGGAGAUAGCUGGUUCUCCCCGAAAUAGCUUUAGGGCUAGCGUUGCGAUAGAUUACCGAAGGUAGAGCACUGAAUAGGCUAGGGGGCGAUGAGCUUACUGAACCUUAUCAAACUUCGAAUGUCGGAUAAUUGUUUCGCGGCAGUCAGACAGUGUGAGAUAAAUUUCAUUGUCAAAAGGGAAACAGCCCAGACCCACAGCUAAGGUCCCAAAUAUAUGCUAAGUGGAAAACGAUGUGGAUUUGCAAAAACAACCAGGAUGUUGGCUUAGAGGCAGCCACUCAUUAAAAGAGUGCGUAAUAGCUCACUGGUCGAGUGGAUCUGCGCGGAAAAUAUAACGGGGCUAAGCAUAUAACCGAAGCUUGGGAAGUCGAAUGACUUGGUAGGGGAGCGUCGUGUACCGGGGUGAAGCAUGAGCGGAAGCACGUGUGGACUGUACACGAGUGAGAAUGCCGGAAUGAGUAGCGAGAAUUAUGUGGGAAUCAUAAUGGCCGAAAAUCUAAGGUUUCCUGGGCAAGGUUCGUCCUCCCAGGGUAAGUCGGGAGCUAAGGCGAGGCCGAGAGGCGUAGUCGAUGCACAUACGGUUGAAAUUCCGUAACCACCGAAGGAUUUAAGCACAGGGACACAUAGAGAUAGCGGGACCCCGGCGUUGGUUGACCGGGGCGCAAGGGACCGAACAUCAGUAGGGAAGUCCGCGAUGCUCUGUGGCGAGAAAAGCUGUGUGUAUAUCUAAGGUGCCCGUACCGCAAACCGACACAGGUAGAUGAGGAGAGAAUCCUAAGGCCAACGGGAGAAGGGUUGUUAAGGAACUCGGCAAAUUGACCCCGU